AUGAAAUGUGGCAUUCUAGCAUACGUUCCGGGAUACCGGAGGAGAUCCUUUUGGUGCACCUACAAAGAACUGGCCUUGGGAGGAUGGCAUGAAUUCCAUGGCCAUGGCUACGAAAACUAUGGGACUUAUUACUUAUUGAUAGAGCUGACAUGUGAUUUAACUGCUAAUGAGGGUAGUUUAGGUUUCAUUGUCUUUAAUAAUUUUUGGCUUGGCCGUCAGGGUACUGCAAUACUAUGGGUUGAUAAAGAAAGAAGGAAAAUAAACGAGAAAGCAAGACGGAAUUGGCAGAAUCACGACAAAGGACGUACCCAGCAAUGA
rnacentral:rRNA from 1 species